UAGUGUUUUCCAAAACAGUUUUCACUUUUCAAAAACAGGGAAAACAGAAAACAAUGAGAAAACGUGUUUGGUAGCAGUUUUUCUAAAAACGUUUUUUACUCGUUUUUUGUUUUCGAAAACACCUAAAAUGAAAACAACAUUUCAUCGUUUUCAUCGUUUUCAUUUCUUCCUUCUUCUCCUUCAGAAACGAGCAGAGAAUUUCCCAGAGGAGAUGGGUUGAUUGAUUUGGUAUCAAGUUCUAGGGUUUGCAACAAUUUUUAGAUUCGAUUCAUAUUGUUGCAAAACAGACAAGGGAAAACUCGUCUUGCAAAGUACUACGUUCCUCUUGAAGAAUCUCAGAAGCACAAGGUUGAAUACGAGAAAAAAAGAUGGCUUCUCUAUCAAGUGAUGAUAACGUAGAUGAUAUCCGCACAUGGCCACAGUAUAUUGUGGAUUACUUUGUUCAAUUGGUUCAUGAUGAAGCCAAAAAUGGGUUACAAACCACUACAUUGGAGAAGAAGAAAUGGGGAGAAAUAGAUAAUGCUCUCUUUGCUAAGUUUGGUAAGAGAUACAGCAUUCCUAAGUUGAAAGCUAAAUUCAAUCGACUGCGUAUAGAGCAUAGGGAAUUUGCAAGGUUAGUGAGUGAUACUGGUAUGGGUUGGGAUCCAGUUGCAAACACGGUCACUGCAAGUGAUGAUGCUUGGAAGCGUUAC